rnacentral:rRNA from 1 species
AUUGAACGCUGGCGGCAUGCUUUACACAUGCAAGUCGAACGGUAACAGGCCGCAAGGUGCUGACGAGUGGCGAACGGGUGAGUAAUGCAUCGGAACGUGCCCAGUCGUGGGGGAUAACGCAGCGAAAGCUGCGCUAAUACCGCAUACGAUCUAUGGAUGAAAGCGGGGGACCGUAAGGCCUCGCGCGAUUGGAGCGGCCGAUGUCAGAUUAGGUAGUUGGUGGGGUAAAGGCUCACCAAGCCGACGAUCUGUAGCUGGUCUGAGAGGACGACCAGCCACACUGGGACUGGGACACGGCCCAGACUCCUACGGGAGGCAGCAGUGGGGAAUUUUGGGACAAUGGGCGCAAGCCUGAUCCAGCAAUGCCGCGUGCAGGAAGAAGGCCUUCGGGUUGUAAACUGCUUUGUACGGACGAAAGACU